AUAUAUUCAAUUAUGUGGUGUAAAUCACCCACCCAGUUCAGAUGAUCAACAGUGGUGAACGUGAUUUAAAAAUUUUUUGGUUGUUGGAAGGGUUACUAUUGUAACGCUCACUAUUGAAACGCUCGUCGGAAGAAGUGGACCAAGAUGCAGCGUGGAUCAUUGACCAUCUGGAUGGAGUGCGCCUGCUUUGGUCCUUCUUGAAAAACCCAAAUCCAGAUGUCCAGGCCAGUGGUGCAUGGGAUAUUUGUCCAUGCAUUGAAAAUGCAAAUACUGAUGAUAAGCUGUGUCGUUACCUGGCUGAGGCAGUCGCCCGCUGCUGCAUGUGCGGCAGUAACAGGGUAUCGUUUGGGGAGGCCGUCCCCCCCUGAAGUCCAAGGACUCCUCGGUCCACCAGACCGCAGCUCAGACCCUGUUCCAGAACCCCAGCAACUACAUCACCAUGCACGAGAACAGAGUGGUGAAGGUAUGUUCACUUCUUUGCUCACAAGCACUUGUCCUUUCCACACCUAGUGGUCAAGGUACUGAUUGGUAAUCGAUUCCAGGCUGUGUCGCAGCCGGCCGCAACCCGGGAGACCUAUGAGGCAACGCACGAUUGGCUCAGCGUCGUCCGAGUUAGGGGAGGGCUUGGCUGGUUGGGAUGUCCUUGUCCCAUCACGCUGUAGCGCCUCCUGUGGCGGGCCUGGUGCAUGCACGCUGACAUGGUUGCCAGUUGUACUGUUUCCUAAGACACAUUGGUGCGGCUGGCUUCCGGGUUAAACAUGCAGUGAGUCAAGAAGCAGAGCGACUGUGCAGGGUCGUGUUUCGGAGGACGCAUGGCUCUCGACCUUCGUCUCUCCCGAGUCCAUAUGGGAGUUGCAGCGAGGUGACAAGACUGCAACUGCCAAUUGGAUAUCACAAAAUUGGUGAGAAAAAAAGGUAAAAAGUAAAAAAUACAUAUAUUUUCAUUAAUAUCUUUGCUCAAGAUGAUUUCCUCCGAGCAUUCUCCUCACACCUUCAUAAACUUUCUUUAAAUGUGUAUUUAUACAGUACCAGUCAAAGGUUUGGACAAACCUACUCAUUCAAGGGUUUUUCUUUAUGUUUUACUAUUUUAUACAUUGUAUAAUAACAGUGAAGACAUCAAAACUAU
rnacentral:lncRNA from 13 species